CCCAGAGCAAGAGGAAUUCAACAGCAGAUGCCUUCGGACUUGACCCAUGACGUUGGUUCUCUCCUGGAUCUGCGGCCUGCAAGAUUCCCCGGCUGUGUCUCACAGAGGCUGGGACCUAGCCGGCCCCACUGCUCCCAUCCUAGGUCAGGAGGAAGUCAAGAUUUGACAGAUGCAUUCUAGCAUGAGGGCUCCCAGAUUGGGAAUUUGUCUCCCUCUGAAACCAAAGCUUGCAAAAGCAGAAGACCCCAACAAACAGGAGCUCAGCCAUCUGCAGAAGUAACUCAUCUCAGAAGAAGCCCUGCUGGGUUUCCCACACUGCACUUGGUCCUGGAGAUGCAAUGGUCCUGGGCAGGCCAAGCGGGGAAACAACAAACCUACAGCUCAACAUGCCCCCCAGUACAUAGUUGUAUAUUCUUCAUUGUGGGUCCUUCUAGUUGUGGCAUGUGGGACGCUGCCUCAGCAUGGUUUGAUGAGCAGUGCCAUGUCCGUGCCCAGGAUUCGAACCAACGAAACACUGGGCCACCUGCAGCGGAGCGCACGAACUUAACCACUCGGCCACGGGGCCAGCCCCUACACAGCAAGUUUUUAAAAAUGUUUUACUUUGUCUCAAUUUUUACUUUAUCAAAGGAAUUUGCAUAGUUUAAAAAGUCAACUACUUCCAGGAAAAAGAAAUAAAAGGAAUCCAAAUAGGUAACGAAGAAGUAAAACUCUCGUUGUUUGCAGACGACAUGAUCUUAUACAUAGAAAACCCCAAAGAAUCCACAGAAAAACUAUUAGAAAUAAUCAACAACUACAGCAAAGUAGCAG
rnacentral:lncRNA from 1 species